rnacentral:rRNA from 1 species
CCUACGGGUGGCAGCAGUGGGGAAUAUUGCUCAAUGGGCGAAAGCCUGAAGCAGCAACGCCGCGUGAGGGAUGAAGGCCUUCGGGUCGUAAAGCUCUUUUCUUAAAGAAGAUAAUGACGGUACUUGAGGAGUAAGCACCGGCUAACUACGUGCCAGCAGCCGCGGUAAUACGUAGGGGGCUAGCGUUAUGCGGAAUCACUGGGCGUAAAGAGCGCGUAGGCGGGUUUUUAAGUCAGAUGUGAAAUGCUAAGGCUUAAACCUAAUAAUGCCUUUGAAACUGGUAAACUUGAGUGUAGGAGAGGAAGGUGGAAUUCGUGGUGUAGGGGUGAAAUGCGUAGAGAUCAAGAGGAACACUAAUUGCGAAGGCGGCCUGCUGGACUGUAACUGACGCUGAGGCACGAAAGCGUGGGGAGCAAACAGGAUUAGAUACCCGGGUAGUC